CACACUUAAAUUUCUGAAAUAAACUUCUAAUUUCUUCCCCCCAGGAAGUGGUGAAAACGUUUUUCCAAGCCUACCUGGACCACAUUCAGAUUCCUGCUUUUCCACUGGUACAUCCCCACCUGAGAGUGGACUCUUGGAGCACCUCUGUGAAACAGAACAGGCAAACACAAGGAGAAAUGACACAACAGGAGACAAAAAUGAUGCACUAGGAAGCCAACAAGCAAAUCAACAAUGUGGCCAAGAGCCUGAGCCAGCAGGGGCAGAGCUAUCCAGCCAAGGACUCCAAAUGAAUUCCUGUUUUGUGCCUCUGGCGAAUAUAAUGAAGGAAAUACCACUUUUUAACCCAGAAGAUGAGCAGCAAGCCGAAGCAAGAACUAACCAUAACCAGGCAUCGGACACAAUAGAGAGAAAAGCUGCCAUCCCCGGACCUUUGAAAAGAAGAAGCAGCAGAAGAGGCAGAAGAAGAGUUUCAAGAUUUCCCAGAGAUAAAAAUAUGAAUUUUCAACUUCCUGAACUUCCUGUGACCUGUGGUGAGAUAAAGGGGACUCUGUAUAAGGAGAAAUUGAAAAAAGGAACCUCAGAGAAGUGUAUAAAGAGAGAUAAUGGAAGGUGGUUCACUCCCAGGCGAUUUGAAAUUAAAGGAGGCUACAAAAAUUCCAACGACUGGAAGCAAAGUAUACGCUGCGGUGGAUUUACCCUGAAAGAGCUGAUAGAGAAAGGAUAUCUACAAAAACCACCAACAAACAGAAAAGAGUGAUUAUCAAAUGACUUUCUGCUGAUGCCUCAUCGGUCAUAUUAUUGGUUUUCCAUUGCUGUAGCCUUGCUGUCUUUAAAUUGACCAAUCAUGAUAAAAUUUGAUUGUAUAACACGGUGCUUUCGCAGUUGCUGCCUUCAAACAUUAUAUAAUGUAUAAGGCUGGGACUUUGAGCAACGAAACAUUUAAGAUAAAGGUGGGAACAAUCCUUAAAAAUAAAUAAGGCUAGGUCAAAUGGUAGUUCUACUUG